rnacentral:misc_RNA from 1 species
GGCAAUAACCUGGUAGAACGACCAAAGUGCUCUACUCGGGCCAGACUCGGACCCACGACCCGGGGUGAGAACCACAACUACUGGUCAUCCUUUAGACCUCCAGGGGGCCCGGCACAGCCUCCCUAGUCCGACACAAGUGCUCCACUUGGGCUAUACUCUGACCCAAGUCCCGGGGCGAGAACCACAACUACUGGUCAUCCUUUAGACCUCCAGGGGGACCGGCACAGCCUCCCUAGACCGACACAAGUGCACCACUUGGGCCAUACUCUGACCCAAGUCCCGGGGCGAGAACCACAACUACUGGUCAUCCUUUUGACCUCAUGGUCAUCCUUUAGACCUCAAGGGGGCACGGCAGAGCCUCCCUAGUCCGACACAAGUGUCCCACUUGGGCUAUACUAUGACCCAAGUCCCGGGGCGAGAACCACAACUACUGGUCAUCCUUUAGACCUCAAGGGGGCACGGCAGAGCCUCCCUAGUCCGACACAAGUGUCCCACUUGGGCCAUACUCAGACCCACGGCCCGGGGCGAGAACCACAACUACUGGUCAUCCUUUAGACCUCCAGGGGGCCCGGCACAGCCUCCCUAGUCCGACGCAAGUGCUCCACUUGGGCUGUACUCUGACCCAAGUCCCGGGGCGAGAACCACAACUACUGGUCAUCCUUUAGACCUCCAGGGGGCACGGCACAGCCUCCCUAGUCCGACACAAGUGCUCCACUUGGGCUAUACUCUGACCCAAGUCCCGGGGCGAGAACCACAACUACUGGUCAUCCUUUAGACCUCCAGGGGGCACGGCACAGCCUCCCUAGUCCGACACAAGUGCUCCACUUGGGCUAUACUCUGACCCAAGUCCCGGGGCGAGAACCACAACUACUGGUCAUCCUUUUGACCUCAUGGUCAUCCUUUAGACCUCCAGGGGGCCCGGCACAGCCUCCCUAGGCCGACACAAGUGCUCCACUUGGGCUAUACUCUGACCCAAGUCCCGGGGCGAGAACCACAACUACUGGUCAUCCUUUAGACCUCCAGGGGGCACGGCACAGCCUCCCUAGUCCGACACAAGUGCUCCACUUCGGCUGUACUCUGACCCAAGUCCCGGGGCGAGAACCACAACUAAUGGUCAUCCUUUAGACCUCCAUGGCAACAGGGGGAUGUCAGACCCCAGCUCAUCCCAGGUUGAUGCCUCAAUAGUAGCUUAGGGUCACGGCAGUCCCACCGUGAUCCACCCUCUUGUCCUCUCUCCACAGGAUGACCAGAGUGUCGUGUUUAUUUUCAAAGUGUCCUCGUAGGAUGACCAUGAGUGCAGGAAAAUUUUCAAAGUCCCUCUGUCGGAUGACCAUGAGUGCAGAAAAAAUUUCAAAGUCCCCCCUUGGGAUUACCAGACGUUCGAGAUUUCGGCUGAAAAAUUUUCAAAGUGCUGCCGAGAGCCUGCGCUAGUUGCUUAAGGCUUGAGGAGAUCCGCCUUAUGGUAAGUAAACGAAAAGUGCCUGCGCCCCUGGAGGUUUUGGAAGGUGCGAGCGAUGACCAUGCUCGGGUUAGUAGGGAAGCUCAUCGUCGAACCAGAGAUGGGUAAGGGGCGAACUGGCAGAUGUCUUCCCACCGUCGAGCAGCAUUCCGGGCUUCACAUCGGAGGGCUCCAGCCGGCCCCGGUUCCGAGAACCGGCGCGCGGAAGGUGGCGCCUCCGAACCCGAAGCCAGCCUCUAGGCACGGUCGCAAAGGUGACAGACGCCCCGCCGCCUGCCUCCACAGCACCGUGGCCGCCUCCGGGUGACGAGACUGAGGCGCCCCGUCCGUCUCAGAGGUCCAGAAACGGAGCCCGCCGCGGCGGGGACGCGCCUUCGAAAGCGUCCGCCGGCCCAUCCGCGGAGGUGCCCUCCGGCGAGCACGUGCUUCUCAGGAGAGCCCGAGAGUCCGUUCACCCCUCCGGUCAAGAUGAUGCUUUGAGUGGGAGCCGAGCCGAGCGGGGCGGCUCCGGCGGGGAGGUUGGGAGGCGGCCGUUUGCCUUGCUGCAGCGGCCGUCGCCCCCGCCUGCCCGCCCGGUCGCCGUCCCGAACGACUCCUCUUCCCCACUCUCCCAGCACCCACCCCCCCUGUCGGUGGCGGCCGGCUCCGGUGCUGGCGGUCGCGCCUCCGGGCGACCCGUCUGCAGCGCCCGGCCUUCUCCACGGGGA